GACGAACGCUGGCGGCGUGCCUAAUACAUGCAAGUCGAGCGAGCGGAACUAACAGAUUUACUUCGGUAAUGACGUUAGGAAAGCGAGCGGCGGAUGGGUGAGUAACACGUGGGGAACCUGCCCCAUAGUCUGGGAUACCACUUGGAAACAGGUGCUAAUACCGGAUAAGAAAGCAGAUCGCAUGAUCAGCUUUUAAAAGGCGGCGUAAGCUGUCGCUAUGGGAUGGCCCCGCGGUGCAUUAGCUAGUUGGUAAGGUAAAGGCUUACCAAGGCGAUGAUGCAUAGCCGGGUCGGGGGGCUGACGGGCCACAUUGGGGUGGGGACCCGGCCCAAACCCCUAGGGGGGGCAGGGGUAGGAAAUUUUCCACAAGGGCCGCAAGUCUAAUGGGGCAACGCCGGGGAGGGGAAAAAGGUUUUCGGAUCGUAAAGCUUUUUUGUUGGUGAAGAAGGAAGGGGGUGGUAACUGGCCUUUAUUGGACGGAAAUAAACCAGAAAGUCACGGCUAACUAGGG
rnacentral:rRNA from 1 species